rnacentral:rRNA from 1 species
CUGCUCAGUAACACGUGGACAAUCUGCCNUGAAGAAGAGGAUAAUCCCGGGAAACUGGGGGUAAUACUCUAUAGUCCGGGAGGACUGGAAUGUUCUCCGGAUGAAAGAUCCGUCGCUUCAGGAUGAGUCUGCGGCCGAUUAGGUAGUUGUUGGGGUAAAAGCCCAACAAGCCCGUAAUCGGUACGGGUUGUGGGAGCAAGAGCCCGGAGAUGGAUUCUGAGACACGAAUCCAGGCCCUACGGGGCGCAGCAGGCGCGAAAACUUUACAAUGCGGGCAACCGUGAUAAGGAAACCCCGAGUGCCACCACAGGGUGGCUGUCCACCAGUGUAAAAAACUGGUGAAGAAAGGGCCGGGCAAGACCGGUGCCAGCCGCCGCGGUAAUACCGGCGGCUCGAGUGGUGGCCGCUUUUACUGGGCUUAAAGGGUCCGUAGCUUGAUUCACAAGUCCCUUGAGAAAUCCAUCGGCUUAACUGAUGGGCGUUCAGGGGAUACUGUGGUUCUAGGGACCGGGAGAGGUGAGAGGUACUGCCGGGGUAGGAGUGAAAUCCUGUAAUCCCGGUGGGACGACCUAUGGCGAAGGCAUCUCACCAGAACGGCUCCGACAGUGAGGGACGAAAGCUGGGGGAGCAAACCGGAUUAGAUACCCGGGUAGUCCCAGCUGUAAACGAUGCGCGUUAGGUGUGUCAGUGAUCACGUGUCACUGAGAUGCCGAAGGGAAACCGUGAAACGCGCCGCCUGGGGAGUACGGUCGCAAGGCUGAAACUUAAAGGAAUUGGCGGGGGAGCAC